rnacentral:rRNA from 1 species
GAUGAACGCUGGCGGCGUGCCUAAUACAUGCAAGUUGAGCGGACAGACGAGGAGCUUGCUCCUCUGACGUUAGCGGCGGACGGGUGAGUAACACGUGGAUAACCUACCUAUAAGACUGGGAUAACUUCGGGAAACCGGAGCUAAUACCGGAUAACAUGUUGAACCGCAUGGUUCAACAGUGAAAGACGGUCUUGCUGUCACUUAUAGAUGGAUCCGCGCCGCAUUAGCUAGUUGGUAAGGUAACGGCUUACCAAGGCAACGAUGCGUAGCCGACCUGAGAGGGUGAUCGGCCACACUGGAACUGAGACACGGUCCAGACUCCUACGGGAGGCAGCAGUAGGGAAUCUUCCGCAAUGGGCGAAAGCCUGACGGAGCAACGCCGCGUGAGUGAAGAAGGUCUUCGGAUCGUAAAACUCUGUUAUUAGGGAAGAACAAAUGUGUAAGUAACUAUGCACGUCUUGACGGUACCUAAUCAGAAAGCCACGGCUAACUACGUG